GUGGUCCUACGGGAGGCAGCAGUGGGGAAUAUUGGGCAAUGGAGGCAACUCUUACCCAGCAAUGCCGCGUGAAUGAAGAAGGUCUUCGGAUUGUAAAGUUCUUUAAUUGGGGACGAAAAAAAUGACGGUACCCAAGGAAUAAGCCCCGGCUAACUACGUGCAAGCAGCCGCGGUAAUACGUAGGGGGCAAGAGUUGUUCGGAAUGACUGGGCGUAAAGGGUGUGUAGGCGGUGUAGCAAGUUAGAAGUGAAAUACCUAGAGCUUAACUCAGGUGCUGCUUCUAAAAAUGCUAUCCUU
rnacentral:rRNA from 1 species